AAAGUGCGAAAUGUAGUGCGAUUUGCAUGAAUCUGUGAGUCAUCUAAUUUUCGAACGCAUCUUGCGCCUAGCAAUAGGCAUGUCUGUUUGAGUACCGCAUCCAUCUUUUGGUGCCUUUUGCGGUAAAAAGACGUAAUUUAUUGGUGGUCAGUAGGCCCGAGCGUUAAUACUCUUGGAGCGUGCUGGCAGCCUUUGAACUUUGGUCUCAAAUCAGGCAAGAUUACCCGCUGAACUUAA
rnacentral:misc_RNA from 1 species